rnacentral:ncRNA from 1 species
CCACAUCCACAGGGGUGCCCCGUUAUAGCCGGGGCUGAGAUGCGGGCGGCAGGCCUGCGGACCCUAUAGCUGAUCUGGAUCAUACCAGCGGAGCGAGAGGGACCAUGUAUUCA